AAGGGGCGGGGCCGCGGGGAAAAGGGGUUCCGUUUUGUCUGGGGUGAGAAAGUUGGCAAGCGUCGGGCCCGCCCCUCGGGGGGUCGCUCUUACCUCCGCACUGGCCCGCCGGGGGCACCAAGUCCAGGCAUGAGGAACCAACAAGAUUGCCAGAGGUGUGGAGCCCAGCACUGCUUUCCUAUCUUCACGUGUCUAGUUUCUACACAUCUCUGAAAACAAUGAGGAAUUUAUGGGGCACAAAUGGUGAAAUGCCUUCUGAUGAAGACAUCGUACAUGUUGGUUACUACCACGCACUCAUUGUGAGAGUCUUAGAACUACCUUAAACACAGAGAAAAACAGGACUGUCCUCUACAUGAAAAUCACAACUGGGCACCGAAUCACUACGCAUGCCUGGCUUACUGAAACACAGCUGCUAAUGCAACUAUCUGUCUGCAUAAAUACUCAAAUCCUAAAGAAGGUAAUUCUGAUGUAGACCUUUCUGAUUGUUUGGCAUUGUAUGUUAAUACCGGGCUUUGAGCCUGUUUUAGAACAAGAAUUAACAGUGGAAGGAAAGGGCAGUGACUGCUUACAACAUGGUCGUAAACAUUCUCCACCAAAAUCCCUUUAAUGCUGCCCAAGCAGAGCCCAGAAGAAGAGAAUAAAAUGGGUAUGGCAUAUAGGAAAGAUGACAAAGGCCUUGUCUAUGACGGAAGUUAAGUCAAAUCAACUAAAGACUGCCCACCAAACAAAUGUGGAAGAGAGGGAUGCAUAUCUUUCUAGACAGAGAUGCACAGGGAGCCAGCAGGGUCUAGUGAAAUAAGCAUGGAACUUGAAGCCCAAGACACCCGAGUUCUAAUUCUGCUCCUACCUCGUUAUAUUGCCUUGAACAAGUCACUUAUCCUCUCUACUCUUCCAUCUAAUAAAAUGGAGAAUGGAUAAUACUUGCCUCUCAAUGGGGGUGUGAGAAUUAGUUCAUGUGUGCAGUGUUUUGAAGAGGUAAAAUGCUAUAUGAGGCCUAUAUAUACACAAUAUACUGUGUCGCCUCCAUUUUUAGACUGCAGGCAUAUAAACACGGGCACCCAAUUUGUGUGCAUCACAGUAACUGUGUAUGCAGAUGAUUAGUUACACAUCUAACCAGAGAGACAAGGUGGGUGAGGUAAUAUAUUUUAUUGAACCAACCUCUGUUGGGGAAAGAGACAAGCUUUCGAGCUACAGGUCUGAAGACAUGAAAAAGAGCUCAGUGUAGCCUGAAAGCUUGACUCUUUCACCAACAGAAGUCGGUCCAAUAAGAGCCCACCCCCCCAGCUGGAGCUGCAUCCCCUUCUGCACCCCAAUCUCCUGCCCCAGCCCUGAGCCCAACUCCAAACACCCCGGGGCCCCACAAAAUCUAAUAGCCUUGGGCCCACAGGAGAAUUAAUCUGGCCCUGCUCCUGGGAAACCACUAGUAAACUAGUAAAAAGACCUUGUAUAGAUGAAUCAAAAAACCUCCUGAAGUCCAAUGGGGUAACUCCCAACUCCCUAAUGACAAACUGGCCUCCACCCAUUGGGCAGAGGCCUGGUUUGCUGCUGCUUCCUAUCUCCUGGUCAGCUGCAUGUGGUAGAACCUUCAGAACUUGGAGCACUCUAGCCUCCAUGCCUGACUGUGUGAGAAUAGACUCAGCUGCUAUAGCAGCAUAUAAUGCGUGCAAUUGUUUGGAAGGUGAGCACAGCAGCAGCAUUUGGAGGCUCAGCACUCAUCCUGAACUGCUAGUUCAAUAUAAAGCUAGGCAGGAAGGUUGUAGAUGGAGGAGACCUUUGUGCAAGGGGAUAAUGGGAGACAAGAGAAGUACCCAGCAUCAAAAAAGCCCAGAGGGGCUAUUACAGGUACAUUCACCAACAGCUGGGAACCACUGUUCUAAUGAACUCACCUUGCCAGGAAAGAGGAUGGGGUGAGUGAAUACAGCACACUAGUCUGAAUUCUCUCUCUGUGAUCUGAUAUCUGUGGUUCCAGUACAACAUCCAUAUGCAAGUCCUGCAGCUGACUGCAGGGAAAAUAGGGCAAUCAGAAGCUUUGCUGUGCCAUUGCCUUCCUGGAAAUAAAUAGAUGCUCUUUGUGGACAUUGUACUACCACUAAUAAGCUCCCUCAGUUUCUUCAUUUGCCUUAGGGCUGGCUCAAAUAAAUGGUUAGUUUCCGUUCCUCUGGCCUUUUUCAGCUGUGCAGAAAUGAAGGCACCUGUGCUUAAAAUGGCUGGCCUGAACACAAGUUCUCUUGCUCUGGGGCUUAACAGUAUCAGAUGUCACAUUCAUCUGUUCCCUGCAGUUUUCUUGUUCCUUAAUACAAGCUCUCACUUUGCCUUUCUUCUGUACAUGCCUGAAUGCAGGGCAGCUCCACGGGCAGUUUCAGCAUUGUAGCAUGGUGUGGAUUGAGCUUACUGAGCCCUGAUCAAGUCACCAUUACGCCACUUGGUGGGGCUGCUGUAUACCGUAAUCUCAGCAGAUCUAAACCUGAGUCAGUCUCUCUGGGCUUGUUUUUCUGUCUCUCUCUCUCUUUUUUUUUUUUUUUUUUCCCACAGACUGUUGUUCAUUGUAUCUCCUUCAAGCCCAGCAGUUGGUGCCCAUACAAUCCUCAGCUAUCACUCCGCGAAUCCUCUGGCCUGAAAGUCAUUACUUUAUCAGGAGCGGCAUGGCUAGUGAAUAAAGACACUAAAGUUGAAUAAAGUUCAAUAAAGUUGAAAUUUUUGUGUUGCUUUUUGAGGGGUGGGAGGAGUAUGGCAAGGCAAACAUUUUUGUCAAAAGUUUUCAUUUCUUCUGAAAAUUUCGGUUUUUCGAUGAACAGUCUAAUGCUCCCUCUUCCCCCCCCAAAAACGGAGGUUGUUUUCAUUUUAGAAAACUGGGGAAAUUCUGCAAAAAAGUUACGGAAAGAAAAUAAAAUUUCAUGGAAAACACCUACUGCUUUCCAACCGGCUGUACGACUGAUAUUUGUUGACAAUAAUCUUCAAAGUUGUCUGAUAAGCCUGUCUCUCACCUCAAAUCCUCUUUGGGUAGUUAAGGUUAGCUUGGGAGUAACUGUUCUCAGAACUGGGUUCUGAACAAUUCAUGUCCUGCAGAAAGACCUUCGCUGCUGAAGGCUCUUGUACUGCUAUUCACUCCCACUGACAGAUACAUCAAAGCCAUGAUGCAGUUUUUUAUUUUGUUGUUCUUAUGUGUUACACUUCUGAAAUAACACAGUCAGACUGACAAGUGCUAUAGAAAUCAGUAAAAUCAUUUAUUUUCACCAGCACACCUGUAUCCCAUACUCACACAACUUUGCUAUGGAUGCGCCAAACUGGCUCAGAUAAAAUAAAGUUACUCCACAAGCCCAAGAAUCAAGCUGAAAGUUUUUAACAGCACAGGUUUGCUGCUCGAGUGUGCUUGGACUGUUUGGAGAAGGAAGUAGCUGGAGUCUUUGUGCAUUUCUUCAUACCAAAUCGGACCUUUUUGAGGUUUAUGCAUCAACAUGGAAAGUGACAAAAAAACAACAACAGAAUACUUCACUCUUUGUGAAUUUAACCUGGAGCCAACAGCUUGUGACUAAUGUGGACAAACUUAACGGUGACAGAACAGUACUCAGGGGAAUGGUUUUACUUAGGCCUGGUCUACACUGAAAAGUUAUAUUGACAUAGCUACAUCAGUCAGUGGCGUGAAAAAACACACACCCCUGACUGAGGUAGCUAUG